rnacentral:rRNA from 1 species
UACAUAGGGUGCGAACGUUGCUCGGACUUACUGGGCGUAAAGCGCGUGUAGGCGGAGCGAUAAGUCGGGAGUGAAAUCCCCGGGCUCAACCCGGGAACUGCUUUCGAAACUGUCGUUCUCGAGUACCGGAGAGGGUGGCGGAAUUCCUGGUGUAGAGGUGAAAUUCGCAGAUAUCAGGAGGAACACCGGUGGCGAAGGCGGGUCUCUGGGCCGAUACUGACGCUGAGGAGCGAAAGCGUGGGGAGCGAACAGG